CCUACGGGAGGCAGCAGUGGGGGAUAUUGCGCAAUGGGGGCAACCCUGACGCAGCAAUGCCGCGUGAAGGAUGAAGGUCUUCGGAUCGUAAACUUCUGUUAUGAGGGAUGAAUAAAUUGACAGUACCUCAAGAGGAAGCCCCGGCUAACUACGUGCCAGCAGCCGCGGUAAU
rnacentral:rRNA from 1 species